AUGCAGCUACCACCAGAUUGAUCAUAGGAACUUCAUAGGAAAAGAUCAAUCCUAAUGUUAAAUAAGAGCGAGAUGAAUUUAUUUUAAAUAGUUUAUCAGUGUGCAAGUUAACAUAGAUUAUGUACAAUCACAUUUUCAUUAAAUCAGCUGUUUAUUUCUGCAGAAAAUACCAUAUCAAGAGCAAGGAAAGCAAUGUGCCAGACUGUUCAAGGUCAAAGCAUACUCAAGCAACAAUGAAUAAGAUGGCAACUCACACCAUUCAAAUCAACAAUGUGGAUUUUGCUUUUUGAACUGUCCGGUAAACUGCUGUUUAUACUGCUCCCAGAUAUUAUCAUGUGUGUAGCUAUAUUUGUUAAAAAGCACUACACCUAAAGGUGAAUUUUCAUACCUUAGCCUAAAAAUGCAAAUAUAGUCUGGAAGACAUGCUAACCACAGAUCAGCCCCGUUUCUGAUAUGUUUCUAUGUAGGUUCAUUUUCUGUUAUCGCAGAUGCCUGCUAUUCUGACAGGUUAUGUGUAUAAUUUGCUUAUCAACACAUUCUUUCAUGAGGUACAUAUCUUGUUUGUAAUUUAAAUUACUAUUUUAAAAAUUAUGAGAAGGCAGAAUUUACAAAUUACAUGGAAAAAUGGCGAAACACUGCAGAGGAGCAAAGCAAUUAGUACACAAAUCACUAAGCGCAAGUGUGAAGGUAUAAGAAGUAAUCAAAAAGCCUAAUGAAAUGUCAGCAUUUAUCUUGAAGAGUUGGAUUACAGAAGUGAAGAGGUUGUGCUUCAUUUCUCCAAGCCCUUAGCCAAACUCCUCCUAGAAUUCUUGUUCAAUUUUGGGCAGUGAACCUCAUAAAGUCUUUGAACGUUUACAGCACUUGUUUGUUUGUAUUUUGGUUUUCUUUAAUAUUGAAAUAAUUUUGCUACACUGUACAUAAUUUUUUUCCAAAAGCUUUGUCAACGUUUUGAGAAAAGAUAAAAUUUAAUUUGUUAGUGAUCCAUUUAAUGCAUUCAUAAAACACAAGAAAACCUUAUGAACAAGCUAUAUUCAUAAUUAUGAAAGGCAGCCUAACUUGACACAGUGUUAACC